rnacentral:rRNA from 1 species
GACGUAGGGCGCGAGCGUUGUCCGGAUUUAUUGGGCGUAAAGAGCUCGUAGGCGGCUUGUUGCGUCGACUGUGAAAACCCGCGGCUUAACCGCGGGCCUGCAGUUGAUACGGGCAGGCUAGAGUUCGGUAGGGGAGACUGGAAUUCCUGGUGUAGCGGUGAAAUGCGCAGAUAUCAGGAGGAACACCGGUGGCGAAGGCGGGUCUCUGGGCCGAUACUGACGCUGAGGAGCGAAAAGCGUGGGGAGCGAACAGG